rnacentral:rRNA from 1 species
AGAUUGAACGCUGGCGGCAGGCCUAACACAUGCAAGUCGAGCGGCAGCACGGGUACUUGUACCUGGUGGCGAGCGGCGGACGGGUGAGUAAUGCCUAGGAAUCUGCCUGGUAGUGGGGGAUAACGCUCGGAAACGGACGCUAAUACCGCAUACGUCCUACGGGAGAAAGCAGGGGACCUUCGGGCCUUGCGCUAGUCAGAUGAGCCUAGGUCGGAUUAGCUAGUUGGUGGGCAAGUGGCUCACCAAGGCGACGAUCCGUAACUGGUCUGAGAGGAUGAUCAGUCACACUGGAACUGAGACACGGUCCAGACUCCGUACGGGAGCAGCAGUGGGAAUAGUUGGACAAGUGGGACGAAAGCCUGAUCCGAGCCCAGUCGCCG